rnacentral:rRNA from 1 species
AGAGUUUGAUCAUGGCUCAGGAUGAACGCUGGCGGCGUGCUUAACACAUGCAAGUCGAACGAAGCAUAUUGGUUGAAGUUUCGGACGGAAACCGAUCUGACUUAGUGGCGGACGGGUGAGUAACGCGUGGGCAACCUGCCGUAAGCAGGGGGACAACAGCUGGAAACGGCUGCUAAUACCGCAUAAGCGCACGGUACCGCAUGGUACAGUGUGAAAAGAUUUAUCGGCAUACGAUGGGCCCGCGUUGGAUUAGGUAGUUGGUGAGGUAACGGCCCACCAAGCCGACGAUCCAUAGCCGACCUGAGAGGGUGACCGGCCACAUUGGGACUGAGACACGGCCCAAACUCCUACGGGAGGCAGCAGUGGGGAAUAUUGCACAAUGGGGGAAACCCUGAUGCAGCGAACCGCCGCGUGAGUGAAGAAGUAUUUCGGUAUGUAAAGCUCUAUCAGCAGGGAAGAAGAUGACGGUACCUGCACAAGAAGCCCCGGCUAACUACGUGCCAGCAGCGGC